rnacentral:rRNA from 1 species
GCUCCAAUAACGUAUAUUAAAGUUGUUGCGGUUAAAAAGCUCGUAGUUGGAUUUCUGUCGAGAUUGAUCGGUCCUCCUCUGGGAGCGUAUCUGAUUCGGUUGGCAUCCUCGUAUUUUGUUUUCUGUCCUUAAUUGGAUGGAAAAUGAGUACGACUUUUACUUUGAGGAAAUUCGAGUGUUUACGGCAGGCAAUCGCCUGA